rnacentral:rRNA from 1 species
AACGAAGCACCUGAGAAUGAUUCUUCGGAUGAAGUCUCUUGUGACUGAGUGGCGGACGGGUGAGUAACGCGUGGGUAACCUGCCUCACACAGGGGGAUAACAGUUGGAAACGACCGCUAAUACCGCAUAACCCGCUGGUGCCGCAUGGCACUGACGGAAAAGAUUUUAUCGGUGUGAGAUGGACCCGCGUCUGAUUAGCCAGUUGGCAGGGUAACGGCCUACCAAAGCGACGAUCAGUAGCCGGCCUGAGAGGGUGAACGGCCACAUUGGGACUGAGACACGGCCCAGACUCCUGCGGGAGGCAGCAGUGGGGAAUAUUGCACAAUGGGGGAAACCCUGAUGCAGCGACGCCGCGUGAGUGAAGAAGUAUUUCGGUAUGUAAAGCUCUAUCAGCAGGGAAGAAAUGACGGUACCUGACUAAGAAGCCCCGGCUAACUACGUGCCAGCAGCCGCGGUAAUACGUAGGGGGCAAGCGUUAUCCGGAUUUACUGGGUGUAAAGGGAGCGUAGACGGUGAUGCAAGUCAGAAGUGAAAGCCCGGGGCUCAACUCCGGGACUGCUUUUGAAACUGUGUGACUGGAGUGCAGGAGAGGUAAGCGGAAUUCCUGGUGUAGCGGUGAAAUGCGUAGAUUUCUGGAGAAACACCAGUGGCGAAGGCGGCUUACUGGACUGUAACUGACGUUGAGGCUCGAAAGCGUGGGGGAGCAAACAGGAUUAGAUACCUUGGUAGUCCACGCCGUAAACGAUGAAUAUUAGGUGUCGGAAAGCAAAGCUCUUCGGUGCCGCAGCAAACGCAUUAAAUAUUCCACCUGGGGAGUACGUUCGCAAGAAUGAAACUCAAAGGAAUUGACGGGGACCCGCACAAGCGGUGGAGCAUGUGGUUUAAUUCGAAGCAACGCGAAGAACCUUACCAGGUCUUGACAUCCCUCUGACCGGGAUUUAACCGUCCCUUUCCUUCGGGACAGAGGAGACAGGUGGUGCAUGGUUGUCGUCAGCUCGUGUCGUGAGAUGUUGGGUUAAGUCCCGCAACGAGCGCAACCCUUACCUUCAGUAGCCAGCGGUUCGGCCGGGCACUCUGGAGGGACUGCCAGGGACAACCUGGAGGAAGGUGGGGAUGACGUCAAAUCAUCAUGCCCCUUAUGAUCUGGGCUACACACGUGCUACAAUGGCGUAAACAAAGGGAAGCGAGACAGUGAUGGCAAGCAAAUCUCAGAAAUAACGUCUCAGUUCGGAUUGCAGUCUGCAACUCGACUGCAUGAAGCUGGAAUCGCUAGUAA